UGGCAUAACAAACUGCUAUGAACUUGGUGU
rnacentral:piRNA from 1 species